GCUGGGAUGGCGGAACCAGGUUAACGCGCCGGACUUGAGAUCCGGUGGGCUUUUUGCCCGUGCAGGUUCGAAUGAACCUUUUACUCAAAAGCUUCAAUGGAAAACCAGUAGCUAACGCGUACAAGGUUUUGGAUGUCCUGCUCCCAGCG
rnacentral:tRNA from 1 species